UACGUAGGGCGCAAGCGUUGUCCGGAAUUAUUGGGCGUAAAGAGCUCGUAGGCGGCUUGUCACGUCGGGUGUGAAAGCCCGGGGCUUAACCCCGGGUCUGCAUUCGAUACGGGCUGGCUAGAGUGUGGUAGGGGAGAUCGGAAUUCCUGGUGUAGCGGUGAAAUGCGCAGAUAUCGGGAGGAACACCCGUAGCGAAGGCGGCACUCUGGGCCGGUACUGACGCUGAGGAGCGAAAGCGUGGGGAGCAAACAGG
rnacentral:rRNA from 1 species